AGUGAACGCUGGCGGUAGGCCUAACACAUGCAAGUCGAACGGCAGCACAGUAAGGGCUUGCUCUUACGGGUGGCGAGUGGCGGACGGGUGAGGAAUACAUCGGAAUCUACUUUUUCGUGGGGGAUGACGUAGGGAAACUUACGCUAAUACCGCAUACGACCUACGGGUGAAAGCAGGGGAUCUUCGGACCUUGCGCGAUUGAAUGAGCCGAUGUCGGAUUAGCUAGUUGGCGGGGUAAAGGCCCACCAAGGCGACGAUCCGUAGCUGGUCUGAGAGGAUGAUCAGCCACACUGGAACUGAGACACGGUCCAGACUCCUACGGGAGGCAGCAGUGGGGAAUAUUGGACAAUGGGCGCAAGCCUGAUCCAGCCAUACCGCGUGGGUGAAGAAGGCCUUCGGGUUGUAAAGCCCUUUUGUUGGGAAAGAAAAGCAGCAGGUUAAUACCCCGCUGUUCUGACGGUACCCAAAGAAUAAGCACCGGCUAACUUCGUG
rnacentral:rRNA from 1 species